GGGGAGGUAGCUCAGUGGUAGAGUGCUUGCCUUGCAUGCAUGAGGCCCUAGGUUCGAUUCCUCAGCACCA
rnacentral:tRNA from 1 species